CGGGGUGUGGCGCAGUCUGGUAGCGCGCCUGCUUUGGGAGCAGGAUGUCGCAGGUUCAAAUCCUGUCACCCCGACCAGCG
rnacentral:tRNA from 1 species